CAAAAUAUAGCUUAAAUAAAGCCCCUUGCUUACACCAAAGGAAUAUCCGUGAAAAUCAGAUUAUUUUGA
rnacentral:tRNA from 1 species